rnacentral:tmRNA from 1 species
GGGGUUGUACUGGUUUCGACGGGGGUUUUGAAGUUGCGGAAGCCAUUCGCGGACUAGGACCGCGUCAACAACUUAGAAAUAAAUAUAAACGCAGACGAAAAUUUAGCGUACGCUGCCUAGUGGCAGCUGUCGAACUUAAGCAACUUGCGGCUUAAGAUCUCGGCAUCAAAUUAGCAAGGCACUUUGUCUACAAAGCUUUGAGUAGAUAAAAGAAUUUAUGAAGCUACUAAAGUCAAUAGCCUGUCAACCGGCGAUUGAUGGAGGGAAUGUCAAAUGAUUGACUGUAAUGGGAGAUGCUGCAAUGAAUGGGCUUUCGGACAGGGGUUCGAUUCCCCUCAGCUCCAUUU